rfam:Schistosoma margrebowiei strain Zambia genome assembly, scaffold: SMRZ_scaffold0001491
AUUCAGCUGACGAGUCCCAAAUAGAACGGGACGUGCGUCCUAGAU